ensembl:lncRNA
AUUAUGUAAAAGUGCAAAUUUCCAAUGAUGAAAGUCAUUAUAUUAUAUAUCUAAAAUGUACCAAUAAAAGGAUUAAAAAAAAAAAGACGUGAGAGCCUGAAACCACCAGCAGCAAUACCAUGCCUCCUCUACUCUCUGAUAUUGGUGAAGCUUAAACCAGCUAGAGAUUGUGCCCUAGAAGUUUAAGUGAAUUUUCAAUUGAAUUUUACAGAGCAAGGGAUAAUGCACAUACAUCUCUUGCACUCUUUUGACCCUUGGUUAAGGCUCUGGCUAUAGGUUACUCAGACUUUAGUCUUGAGAAAUUGAUCAAAAUCCACAUCUCAAAGCACCUCCCUUAUGAGCUCUCAUGUUCCAGGCCAGCCUGUACUUAACAUAAUCAAGUCAGGUCCAGGAUCAGACAACUAGACAGCUCCUAUGUUCUGGAGCCCACAAAAUUACUCAAAUGAACCAACUCACAGAGACCCCAGGAAUCCUAGCUUAAAUCUACCCUACUUAUCACGUAGAGGCAACCUCGAGCAACUUCAACUUGUCAUCAUCCUAUCUUCCAAUGCAACCCUAGAUAUGUGGAACUUACUUCAAAACUAAAGUAUACAUAUACAUUUCCAACCAUAUGGAAGACAUUAUCAAUAUGGUGACAAUAAAUAGCACAUUUUUCAGGUGACUGCAUUAGAUCAAGAUGAAAGAAUUGUUGGAAAUGUAGAUUCUGUUGUUCCCUUCUAGACCAACUGAAUCAGAAUUUCCAGAGGUUAUUAAAUGGGAAGGUGUGUUUUCAGGUGAUUCCAAUGUACAAACUGCUAUAUAUAAAUCUUAGAUCUACUAGUUAUUAUUGUGAUACAUAGAGAGUUAUUUAACUUUCUUUGAGAUUCAAUGUUCCUGUUUGUAAAAUGAGAAUAGCUUGCCAGAUCAGUGUGACAAAAUUAGUCUAAAAACUUGCCUGAAAAAUAGUAGCUAUUAUUAUCUUAAGAGAGGAAACUAUAUACUAGAAAAAUAUGUGUAAGAAAGGUCAAAUUUAGCAGGUAUUUAGAGUUCAAAAUUUGAAGAGAGAAAGAAGUAAACCCUUCAAUUAUUAAAAAUUUAUUGUAGUACAGAUAUAUUUAACCAACACUGUCCUCUAAAAAUAGUAGAUAUUAUAAUAUUCAAUUUAUAAAUUUAGUUUAUGUGUAAGAUACUUCUAUGACAUGAACAUUCAUUCAUUCAACAAAUACUCAUGCAAGAUCUACCUAAAUCAUUUAUUUCAGUUGCUCCACAGGCAGCCUGGAUAAUUUCCUACUCUGGGUUGUUUUUCAGUGACUGUGUAGGAGUUGGUAUUUAUCAAGAUGGUUUUGAUACAUUCAUAACAAAUCUCUCUUUCAUGUGUUCUUACAAAUUUUCCUUUGAAGUCUUUGUUCCUUCAAAAAACUCAUCACACAAUUAAGGAGUGCCAAGUUUCAAAGAUGAAGUAAUUGUAAUGCAAGUUUUAGAUGACAUUUUUCCACUUGGAAGCGACGAGAGCAAUUGGUUUCAUUAAGUCGCUGAACUGGACAAACUGGUGAUCCUCCUGCUUCAGUCUCCCAGGGUGCUGGGAUCACAAUUCUCAGCACUGAACAGGAGAUUCUGGACGUUGUUCUUUAGACCCCUGUAAUAAAAAUUAUUUAUUCAGCACAUCAAUAAAUGUGAGGAAAUGAACUUGGGUCCUUGCGCUUGCACAGCAGGUGGCGAAACCACUGAGCCAAAUCCCAGGCCCGAGACAGGAUGAUUUUAUACUGCUCUCUGUGACAGUGGAAGGGACGUCAGCCAGGAAUCCAGCUGGCCUAGAAGCUGGAGAAGGAAAAGCUGGAAAAGACCAUUCUAUGGAGACCCCCAGAAGGAAUCCAGACCUGCUGACAUGUUGAAUUCAGCUUUGAAAAACCAUUUAGUUUUCUCGAGCUUAAAAUUUGUAAAAUAAUACAUUUGUAUUGUUUUAUGCCACUCUGUAUAUGGGAGUUUGUUACAGACUCAAUAAGAAAAGAAUAUGGUGUUAUAUUGAAUCAUCACUUCCCAACUCUUAUCAACUUGUUUAUUUUAGCCUACAAAGAUCCAUUUUAGACUUCUCACCCCAGUAUGAAAGAUGAUAAAUCUGUUUUAUUCUGUUAAAUUUGUAGUAAAAUGUUACAGUAAAAUUGGGGAAUUAAAUUAGAUUUUUAGUUAUCUACCCUUAGUUAUGCAGGAAAUUGGUCUUAUGGCUCUGCCAGGAAGUUCCCUCCUCAGUCAAUGCGGUUAACAAAGGGACUCAAUGAGACUGGCAUUGGCCAGUGAUAGUUCAUUCUUCCUGAGGCCUCCAUCUCUGCCAUUAUGGUCACUUUGUUCACAUGCCCAGUAUCCUUACUCUGGCUGGAUAACACAUAGGGCAUGUCAUUUUGUCUAUUUGGCUCUUCAACUUAGUAUCAAAAGACAAUUAUAACAAAUAAAUUAUAGAUUUAACUGGCUUUUAUUCAUAAUUCAUGAAUUGGCCCUGUCUCCAUUCUUGAGAGUUCCCACUGGACGCUAGCAGCAAGGUUUUGUAAGGUUUGAAUAAGGAAAACAAAUAAUAGAUUGAAAACCUGAUUGAUUAACAAUAGGUUACUUCAGUUUACUCUUUGUUGGUAAGGAAUAAAGCAGGAUAAUUUUCUUAUUACUCUAACUCAAGAGGGAUGGAAUCUCUUAUUUAUAGCAAAAUUAAUCUAUGUGGAGAAUUAUCUGAUACCUUGAAACUUCAGUUUGAUUAUUACCUUCUUGCAUGAGUUAUAUCAUUUUGGUUUGAUGUGGUUGUUGGAGCCUAGUUCAGGAGCUUAGUUCAUGUGGGUCUCCCCUAAUUCUUGGUUAGCAGAGCAAUGCAUUCUGGUGGGUGUUAAUACGUGAUGCUAUGUGCCCACUACCAUCCACCUACCCUUACAUCUCUACUCUAGACCUCCAGUCUCCUCUUCAUUUUUUUUUCUUCGUAGGAUUCUGAUCAUCUAGCUAUGUCAUUCUUUGUUGCCUGUAGGUCUUAUCUCAUAGAAUCUCUUUCUUCUACAUAGAGUGCCUGAUCAUAUAUCCCUUGCAAGCUCACUGCUGAUUGUGGCUGAAAAGCAGCUACUGUCUAUUUUUGGCUUGUACCGAAACACUGAGCAGGAGUUAUAAACCCUGGUCAAGUUCUUUACUUUUCCUUUAGCUGAUCAUCCAGGCCUCCUCCCUCUGAACACAGACACGACCUGAGGGCCACUUGUGAAACUGUGGUAGAUAACACCCAGGUCUGGGCUACCUAUACAUGCAGCUCUGCUCCUGCUCAGGCCUGACCUCAUAUGUAUCAUUUACACUGUACAUAGGAUACGGUUUGACCUGCCUCAAUUUCUGACUAAGUCCAACAGAACCCAAGUCAAGAUAUGAAAUUCAGGAUCCAUAGCCACUUAGUGUCCUGUGCACAGAGUGCUAAUUUUAAUAGGGAGGAGUAUGGCCUUGGGAAUGGGCAUCUAUUCAGAUGUAGUCAUGACAUGUUCCAGAGUCCUAGGUUUUUCCAUUUGUGGCCUUGACUGGGUUUUCUGCAGCUUGGAAAUUCAAACUUUUACAUUCUGAGUUUUAUCUUCACCAUUUUAUUUUCUUUAACUAUAAGGCAUAAAGCCUCUUUUCAAGCUGCCAAAAUGGCUCUCUGCUCAUCACACUUUAAAUUUUUUAUUCAGCUCACUGCUUUUCAUUAUUCUUAUGUAGGACAUCAAUGUGAUUUAGUAACACUCAGCCAGUUCUAUUCCUUUACAUGCAUUGCUCCCUUCCACACACACAAACCACCCCUUACUUUCACUUGAAGCAUUACACAGGUCAGUGUACUUCCUUCUGCCAGAGCAUUCUUUCAAAUUACCACCAGCAAAAGAUUAAGGCAGACUACACAGAGUACCAGAGAGGAUUGUGCUCCAUGCAUUACCUAGGAUCAAUCACUCGGCACCAAGUAAUCAGUGAAUGAUCCAAUCCCUUAACACUAUCUCUUCAUUUGGUUUCAUGCACAACUUCUUAUAGCAGGGCAUGAGAUCUAUGCAACCAUAUAGAGCCUACGCUUAGAAGAGUCCUAUGCUUGCUUUAAUGCUCUGCUGCUCUUGUCAGUGGAAAUUCUUAAUAACUUUUAAAUAAGGUUAUUUACAUUUUCAUUUUACACCAGGCUUCAUGAAUUAUGUAGCACUUUGUGACUAGUGUCAAAUUUGUUCUGUUUGCUUGUUAGUUUUGUUCUUGAGACAAGGUCUCACUUUGUAGUGCAGACUGGACUUGAACUCACUAUGUAGUCCAAGCUGGCUUUGAACUUGCAACAAUCCUCCUGCCUCCACCUCCUCAGUAUUGGAAUUGCAGGUUUGCACUACCACACCUGGCACUAGUAUCAGAUUUGUUAACUGGAUCCUCUCUGAAUCAGAUGCUCAGAUUAUUAGGAGUACAAGACCUUUAAAAGGGAAGAACCAAAGAAGGAAGAAGUAUAAGGAAAUUCUAUACUACCUUCUCAAAUAUUUGUAAUUUUAAAACUGUCUAAAAUUAAGAUCUAUUUUAAGCAGCAGAUAUGUGACAUUCAAAAGAAAUUUUGGUCAAAAUAAUGAUUAAAUUGAAAUAUAUUAAAAUACCCAAUCGAAUGCCUGGCAUAAAAAACAAGCUCAAUAAUGGUAUUUCCUUUUUUAAAAGAAAGCUAACAAUCUUUUAUUAAAACUGGUAUGAAUUUUAGUCUGAUGUUAUUACUUAAUACAUUUAAACAAACAUGAUCCAAACACACAGUGAGAUACAUCUUUAACUCAAGCCCCAUGUUUAAGACAGAAGCCUUUAAGAAAGAAAAAUAGCUACUUUUGUGUAUCACAAGAUAAAAACUGGAAUAGUAAAUUUAUAGAGCUGAGAUUUUCCUCCAUAUCCUGUGUUGUAUAAUUAACUCUUUAGUCUCAGAACCAAACAUAAUGUCUAUCAACACCUUCCAUCACUCCAAUCUGUACUAGGUAUCAUAUUUUUGUUUUUGUUUUUGCUUUGUUUUCUGAGGCAGAGUCUCACUGUAUAGUCCAAGC